CAGCACAGAGUCUGAUGUGUGGCUUGAACCCACAAACCGUAAGAUCAUGACCUGAGCCGAAGUCAGACACUUAACCCGAUGAGCCACUCAGGCACCCCAAGGCAAUGGUUUCUUAUAUAUGACACCAAAAGCACAAGCAACCAAGGAAAAAAUAAAGUAGAUGUCAUCAUGAUUAAAAUCUCUGAUGCACUGUAAUUUAAAUCUUCGGAGAAAAUACUUGCAAAUCAUAUAUAUCUGAUAAGGAUCUAGCAUCCAGAAUAUAUAAAUAACUCUUUAAACUCAACAAAAAAAAAGACAAAGAAGUCAAUUAAAGAAGUGGGCAAAGGAUUUGAAUAGGUAUUUCUCCAAAAAAGAUAGAAAAAGGACAGUGAACUCAUGAAAAGAUGUUCAAUAUCACUGGGCAUUAGGGAAAUGAAAUCAAAAGCACAGUUAGGUACCGCUUCUAGAUGCUUCUAAACAUAAUUAGGUACUGACUAAGAUGGCUAUAAUUUUUUUUUAAUGAAAAAUAACAACUACUGGUGAGGAUAUAGAGAAAUUGGAACCCUCAUACAUUGCUCUUUGUAAUGUAAAUUGGUGCAGCCAAGGUGCAAACCAGUUUGACAGUUCCUCACAAUAUUACACAUAGAGUGGCUAUAUGGCCCAGCAAAUCCAAUCCUAGGUGUCUAACCAAGAGAAUGGGAAACAUAUGACCACACAAAGACUUGUAUACAAGCAUUCAUAGCAGCAUUAGUCAUAAUAGUCAAAAAGUAACAACCCAAAUGUCCAUCAAUUGAAGAACAAAUAAACAAAAUGUGAUCUAUCCAUACAGUGGAAUGUUAUUCAGCCAUUAAAAGCAAUGAUGUACUCAUACAUGUGACAACAUGGAUAACCCUCAAAAGUGUUAGAAAGUUAAGUGAAAGAAGCCAGACAUGAAAGACCACUGAUUAUAUGAUGUCAUUCAAGGUAUAUAGCCAGAAAAGGGAAUCCUACAGAGGCAGAGAAUAGAUUAGUGUUGCUUAGGACUGGAGUGGGGGAGGGAUGAAAGAGGGUAGAGGGAACGAGAGCUAAAUGGUACAGGGUUUCUUUUUGAGGUGAUGAAAAUAUUCUGAAAUCAACUGGAGUGACGGUUGCCCAGAUCUGGAUAUAUUAAAAACCAUUGAAUUGUCCACUUUAACGAGGUGAAUUGUAUGGUGUGUCAAUUACAUCUCAAUAAAGAUGUUAUAAAAUCAACAGGAAAAAAUCUCCAGCAAGAGUGCACUCUAUUAAUUUAGCUUGGUCUUGUGCCAAGGGUCUGGUACAUCCAGACUGAUGGUCCCACUGGACUGUUCCCGAUGGGGAAAGGAGACAUUUCCAACGAGGAAAUUGGGAUGCUAGUACCAAAAGAUGGAGGGAUGGAUGCAUAAACCCCUCCCAAGAAUUAUAAUUUUACUUGCAAUAGAAUCCUAACAUACUACCAUGGACUGCCAGGUCCUGGAUGACCCGUUUCCACCUGCCUUUCAAAUGUCAUCUUCUACUAUUCCUUCUUUUCCUCUUUCUCCUCCUUGCUGUUCCUCCGACAACCUAAGCUCCUUCCUGCUUCACAGCAUUUUUAUCAGUUGUUCUCUUCACCUAUGAUGCUUUCCCCCCAGGUCUUCGCAGGGCUUCCUCCUUCUCCCCAUUCAGUUCUCAGCUCAAAGGUUAUCUCGAGAGAUGCUUUUUCUGACCACCCUCCUUCCAGUUGCUUGCCAAUCUGCUAUGUUGUCCUCAUAGUCAUCUGUCAUUACUUGAUGACAUUUCUAUUAUGCUUCUGUGUUUAUUUCUGUCUACCCUUCUCCCUUGAUAGAAUGCAGAUGCCAUGAGAUCAGGCCCAUGUUUGUUCCAUUCAUCACGAUAGUCCCAACAUCCAGCAUGGGGCUUAGCACAUGGUAAACCUCAGGAAGUGUUCGUUAAAUGCAUAAAUAAUUUAAAGACCCAAAAUUUACUAAAGUGAAUUUUCUACACCAUACGCCAUCACAAUUUUUGGACAUGGGCAAUGGAAAGGAAGAUGGGUGGUGAACAGAACCCUGAAGAGAGAAAAAAUUAGGAUGUCUAUAACUUGAUCAUAAUUGUUUUAUGGAGAGAUAGUACCAGUAUUUCCCCAAAUCCAUAAAGAAUAGAAAUCAGUGCUCUGAAUGGGACCUGGGCAGUCAUCUCUGGGAUGCUGUGGCUCACCACAUUCUUUCCCUCUUUAGUUUCACACUGUCAGGUACAAUCCUCUGUCUCUGUCUCUAUAAUAUAGACGCAUCUAAUAGGGAGCUCAUCGAAGCUCUGGCAGCUGUAUGUUUCUUUGUUCCUGAAAGCACUCAUCUGUUAUCAUUGUGCAUGGGCCAACUCCAAUUCCUCUUCCUUUUCAAAAAUCUUUCCAGUUUGCCGGGUAUCUGCAUGCCCCAAGAUAUGGUUGCCAUCCCUCUCUUGGAGGCAUCUGUUUUCUGUAAGCUUCUACCACAACAGAGUUAUAGUGUCUAGGGCAGCCUUUGAAAUGGUUACUUGCGCGUGUCUCAGAGGCUCCAGCCAAGCUGAGAAAGGCAAUACAAGAAGGUGUGUGACAGAUGACAGAUUGCUGCUGCUGAGUUGGUCCUGAGUCCCCGGCCAGCCCUUGGUGCUGAGUGAAUGAGUAUCAUAUGUCCCACCUGCACCAAGGGAAUUGCAACACAUAAGCACACUAAUUCAUGGCCAGUCCAGAGCUGAAUGUCGCCCCGCAUUGCACUGCCUUCCUAUCAGCAGCUUGCUCAUGCAUGAAUAAACAGAGUUCCUGGCUCUGCUCAAACCAGGCAGCUCAUUGUGAAGGUGGGAAUGUGCUGGGGCUCUCUAUUCUGAGAGGGACUUCAGGCCAUCCAAACAACUAGAGGAAUUGUGGCCUUGUUAUGAAUAUAUAUUUUCAUUCUGCUUUUUUAUAUUGUUACAUAGGCAUUUUCUAUUACAUAUAAUUUGUAAACCUAUCAUUGUCAAGGCUGUAGAAUAUUCCAUCUAAGAUAGUGGUUUUCAACCAGGGACAAUGUUGUGCCCCAGGGGACAUAGGCAAUGUUCAGAGAAUUUUUUUUUAAUGUUUAUUUAUUUUUGAGAGAGAGAGUGUGAGAGGAGGAAGGGCAGAGAGAGAGGGAGACACAGAAUCCGAAGCAGGCUCAAGGAUCCGAGCUGUCAGCACAGAACCCGACACAUGGCUCCAAUUCACGGAUGGUGAGAUCCUGACCUGAACCAAAGUCAGCUGCUGAACCUACUGAACCACCCAGGUGUCCCUGAGAAUUUUUUUGGGGGGGGGUAUAAUUGACAUAUUAUAUUGGUUUCAGGCAUACAACAUAAUGAUCAAUAUUGUAUAUAUUGUGAAAUGGUCACCACAAAUAAGUUUAGUGACCAUUCAUUACCAUAGAAAAUUACCAAAAAAUUCUGCUCUUUUUUUUGUUUCCUUUGAUGAGGGCUUUUAAGUCUUAAAGGACAGGAAAGUGGUGGUAAAUAGUAGCCCAGGUUUGUAAGGUCUAAGACCAAAUCAUUCCCUCUGAGGGUUGCUUCCCCCACCCCUUUGCCUUGAUAGAGAUGGAUUAAUUUGGUCAUCUUGCCCUAGCUGCCCAUUUCUGUCUUCAGUGUUGGAUAGGAGUCCACGGAGGAGCAAGGCUUCCUGUGGGCAAAUUCCUGGGGCCACUGGCCAUUAGUUCUCCUCUUUCUCCCCCCUGAGGAUUUGGCAGCCACACUUAGACCCAUACAAGAGGCCCACUCUGGUCCCUAUGCUUUAGAGGGCAUCACUUUGAGGAAGAGACAGUGGAACCAAAGAGAUGUGCCUGCACAGGGCCCCUGGCCUCCUUCUAGACCACACAAUAGAUACCUGGGAAGCUGAAAUUCCCUGCCUAAACAGCCACAAGCCUGUUUCCAGAGUCUUCACAAGCUCCUUUCUGAGGCCUGCCUUUCUGGGGACACACCUGCAAUUGAUGUGGGCACCUAUGUGAUUGAGGGGUGGCCAGGAGGCAGCUGUUUGCCAUUUGGGGACAGUGGGGAUGAAACUCACAAGCAUGGGCUAGUAAGUCCACAGAUGCAAGCGUGAGGCCCAUCUCAGUGAGGGAGAGCCCAGAGUGAGGACUGAAGGGGGAUAUAGCUGGUGGGUCAGUUGCUGGAAGCUGGUAUUCUCCAUGUCACUACAUUUAGGUGUAGAAUUUUGAGUCCAAGAAUUUUCCAUUUGAGCCUGGCCUUCCAUGUAGUUAUGAAGGUAUAUUGGUUGAGGUAGAAGGAUAGGAGUUUGUUAUCUGUAAAGACUUUAGUAGAAAAAAUUGGAGAAUAUCUUUCUAACCUGGGAUUAGGCGAAAAUUGCUUAGAGACAAUUUUUUACAAAGCACAAUCAGUAAAAGAAGAAAAGAUCAUAAAUUGGACUUCCUCAAAAUUAAAAACUUACAUUCUUCCAGAAACAUUAUUAAGAAAGUAAGAAGAUAGCCUAGAGAAUUGGAGACAGUAUUUGCAAAUAGGUUUGAUGAGGAACUUGUAUCCACAAUCUAAAUAAAACUCUUGCAAUUCAAUAAUAAAAAGAUUCCCAAUUGACUCCAUUAAAAAUUUCAACGCAAAACAUUUAUGAAUGGCUAGUAAGCCCAUGAAAAGCUCUUCGACAUCACUUGCCAGUAGAGAAAUGUAAAUCCAAACAUAAGGAUAUGCCACCUCACCCCUCCUAGAAAGGCUCUAGUUCUUAGAAAGGAGAAAUAACAUGCCAGUGAGGAUGCGCAGAAAAGGGAACCCUCAUACAUUGCCAAUGGGGAUGCACAAUGGCCCAGUCACUUCAGAAAACAGUUCAGCAGUUCCUCAAAAGGUUAGACCUAGAGUUACCAUGAUUUGGCAAGUCCACUCCAAGCACAUACCCAAAAGAAUUGAAAAUAUCUGUUCAAAUGAAAACUCUUUCGCAAACAUUUAUAGCAUCAUUAUUCAUAGUAGACAAAACAACCCAAAUGUCCAUUGACUGAUGAAUGGAUAGACAAAAUGUGGUAUAGCCAUGAUGAAGUUUUGGGGUGAUGGUGGGGUGGUUUGUGGGGUCUGGAGGCAAUGGCCAGGAAAGAAUUCUUGAAGACGUCUUUGGUGCAAAAAAAAAAGUGAUUUUAUUGAAGCAUGGGGACAGGAUCCAUGGGCAGGAAGAGCUGCACUGUAAGUGCUGGGGGUUGAGUCCGGGGAGAGGGAGUUUCCAAAGAGACUUCACACGGUCAAGACUUACUGGAGGCCUAGCUGUUGUCAAGCUAAGGUUGUCUUUCCCUCUAGCAAAACAUUAACUUGAAGAUAGUAGAGAGUUCCUGGACUUUAGGCUGUCGAUGGGAUUGCCUUUUCUGGUAAACGGGUGGAGACUUAUCAGUUUAACCUUUUGUUUUUUGUCUUUUGUUUUGUUUUGUUUUGGGGUAGCUGGGAGUGUCCAAGGAAUAUCACACGUGUCCCACUUGGGAGGGGGCGGGGUGCUAGCUUGGGUUUUGCCCUCAGCCUGCCUCACGCUCCCUCAUCAGCCACACGAUUGGAUACUAUUCCACCAUAAAAAGGAAUGAAGUGCAGAUGUGUGCUGUGCCAUAGAUGAACCUUGAAAACAUGCCGAGGGAAAGAAGCCAAUCCCAAAAUACUUCAUAUUGCUGAUUCCAUUUACACGGAGUGUCCAGGAUCCCAUCUGGGACAUAUACUGAUGAAAUUUGAAGUGGGGUUCACGAACAAACGACUAAGAAAGAACUUUUGAGAUGUCUUCAGUGCGAACAGGUGACAGAAAGAGGAUGAUGAUUGAGUUUAUGAGCCCUCUGAAGAUCUGGAAACAAUGAAUUAUGAAGUCAACUUGAAGAAGCUAGGGACAAUUCAUGUAGAAGAGGGAAGGCUCAGGAAGGCUGGGAAAAUCAUGCUCAUUUCUCGGCCAUGAUGGCUUUUGGUGAAUGAUACCCCUGGCCGGUGGACCAGACAGAGUACGUAUGCUACAAGUCUUCUUGCUUCUAAGGUAGAAGAACGCCAAUUAUAGUGUCUAUCCUCUGGGAAAUACAAAACUCUGGAGCCAUGCCAUUCUACCAGUGUGGUCUGGGGAUCACAGAAUCAACAUCCUCCAGGAGCUUGCCAGAAAUGCAGAAUCUCGGGCCCCAUCCCAGAUCCACUGAGUCAGGAUCCACAUUGUAACAAGAUCCUCUAGCACCCUUCUUGGGAAGUCCUAAUUUAGUGAUUACAAGUAUGGGCCUUUGGCCUUGGGCAAGCUUGGGUUCAAAUUUGGGAUCGACCACUUAUUUAAUGACGUGACUUUGAGUGCAUGAAUUAACUGCUCUAAGCCUCAUCUGUGAAAUUGAAAUGGGGGUGGGUAAUAACAGUCCCUGCCCAGUGAGACUGAGGUGAUGUUUGCAUGCUUAAUUACCUGGAAAACACCGAGCACCGGGCCCGGUAUAGUGUGAGCCCCGAAACAGGGCAGUGACAUGGGGCCGGAGCUGUGGUUUAAGAAAGAUACACUGGGGUGAGGCAGGAGACUGGUCCUGUUCUCUCGGGAUGUUUGCUUUUUAGAAAUGGACGAUGCCCUAUGGAGCCUCUGGUUCCUCUAGUCCAGGAGGAGGUAGUAGACCUUCUCUUUCCGCCAAAAACACAGGAAAGGAAGUUUCAAAGCACUGGGCAAGGAAAAUACCUCUUGACUCCUCCACUGGUGAGGCAUGGGCUGCAGCGCUGAGGGAAGAGAAGUUCUACAAAAGGUAAGCAAGAGCCUGGAUUGUUUCCCUGGGGCCGGACCCAACAAGACCCUGAACUUCUUGUUAAGCCGGAAGUUAGGGCCCUGGCUUCAGACCUGGCUGCUUUGAGAUGACUCCUGACCUUGGAGGGACAAGAUGCCACUUUGGCCUGGAUCCUUUUAAGUCCUGGUGGUACUACCCUGGGGGGGCAGCCAGUCCACAGAUGUGGGCUGCGGAGAGAGAAAGGCCCUGUCAAGCCAAGGGCUCUGUGGUCAGUGGUGCCAUCAUGUCUGCUGAGCAAAGCUUACUGUUUUGAUUGUACUGCCUUCUGUGACUUUUCCUGUCUCUUUCUUCCUACCUGCUUGACCUCAUUCUCCCUGCUCAUCCCUUACACCAGUCAGGAACCCUACUGGGAGGCAUGACAACUGUAAACUGGGCCUGCGUGCGCCCCCCAGAAGCGGCUUUCUUUUGCGUUUUCUUGCUUUCCUUACCCUUCCUCGCCUUCCCUCCCUCUCUAUUUUAUAUCAAAUAUUUGCUUGGCUUACAACUCAUAAAAUAUCAUUUCAUUAAAUCAUGUUUUCGUUUAAGUAAGAUGGCUGUCAGGCUGAAGCUAUUUGAUUGUAUUAGGAGUCAGGAAAAUAUAAAGAAAAAUCCAUUUGGAGAAUGGAAUAACACAACACAUUUUAGUUCAGUUUCCUUGGUUUUUCUUUUAAUGGCAUUAUAGAUCUCCAAGUAUAAUAUUGUUCCUGACAAUUCAGAACCAAUUGCUUCGAAGGGGUUCUUGGGCCCCUUUGCCUGUGAGCUGACACCCCCUCCCUCUGGUAACGCCCUUGGGCUGUCUGAUCUUGCUCUUUUCCAUUUACUCCACCCAGCUGCCAAGUGUUCACAAUCCAACAGUUGAAAAACUGAUUCAAUGCCCAUUAUGGACUGCCUUCCAUGGGUUCUGGGAAUCCUGAGAUCAUUGAGAUGUGGUUCCUGCCUUCUGAGGACUCCUGACCUGUCUACAGGGAUGACAGGCCUGAGCAGCCCAUUAUACUAUAAUGUCUCCUACUCUCUGGUGGGGGUGUGAGGCAAUCCUGCGGGAGCACAGAGGAGUUUCUCCUUCUACCCUGGCAGAAGCUAGUCCACCAAGUACAGCUGUGCAACACACAUAUUGCACAAAGAUGCUAAAUUUAGAAAGCAUCCACACUGCAAGCAUUUGAAUGUAGAUAUUGAUCAGGACAGUUUUCUAGCAGAUAAAAGAACAAAUCUUGAGGAAGGGGCACAUUUUUCCAAUUUCCACUAAGACACUGUCUGGGUUAGCAGGUGGCCCUGGGUGGGCAUGUGUUUGGAAGGACUGUGGACAGGAGAUGCAUUUAAUCUGGGCUGUGCUAGAGCCCAGAAGAGUUGAGCAGCCAGGCAGAGGGCAUUCUAAGCACAGGGAGCAUAAAGUGUGCCAGAGGUGGGAGAUCACAAUGCUGUACCUGGGGAAUAAAGGAGGGCUGGGUGCGGCGCCUGCAGAGUGCACAUGGUGGAGUGUGGCGGCUAUGGCCUGGAAACAUCGUUGGGAGGUACAUCAUGAAGGGUCUGGGAUAAAGUCCAAACUCUAGCAAAACAUUCCAGACCCUUCAUGAUCUACCAGCAGUUAGGUUCCAAAAGAAAGUGAUGUAAGGUAGAAGAUAAAUACAUGAGCCUCGUUCCACACAGUGGAAGUAAAAAUCUGCUGAAGGCAAGGGUUGGCAAAGGUCUACAGAGACCAGACAGAGCAUGAGUGCAGGUAGUGAGUGAAGGGGGUUUUAGACAAGAGAGGGUGACCUGGAGAGCACAGGCCCCACACAAAUGUCGGCCUCACUCAGCUUCGGCUGAAUGUUGUCAGGAAGGCCUGGAGGCCAGGUGUGACCAGGUCUCCCAAGUUUUCAUGAGACGCUGGAAACUUGCAUAUUGAUGUACAAAUCCCCUAAGUUCUAAGUGUUGGCAAGUAACUCAGAGUUUUUAAAACACUAUCUGCCAUACAAGGCAGGUCUGCGGACCAGGGUCGGCCAGCAAUCUCUGACAAUGAGGGAAGGAGGAGAAAAUUCUCAGAACCUCAGAUGAGAUGGUAAUGAGAAUUGAGUUCAUCUUUGGGCUUCAUCGCAGGGAAGACAAACAUGGACACCGAUCCUGUUCCCGGUGACGGGAAAAGAAAUGGAGGCCAAGUGUAGCAGGUGAUAUAUGGUCUCUGUGGAUAUGGAAAAAUGAGCUGACAUUAAAUAAAAUGGCUGAUGAGCAGGACUCAUGCUGGUCCUUUCGUGGCAAAGUUCUUCCCAUAAGAAUAUUUCCCUAAUGACCCUUGGGUUGGUUGUGGCAGGACUGUCUACUAGCUGGAGCCUGAAUCAGGGUCAAGUGUGUGCUGAUGCUCCAGUGCACAGCUUUUCUGAGCCUUAGCCCUUACACGUGGCUGUGACGGGCUGACUGCUACAUCUAAGAGUGUCUGUAGUUCCUGGAUUCUGACUACGUCUCUGAUAUGUCUACUCUGAUAUGUCUAAUGCCUGUCUCACCUUCAGCCCCAGCUCGACAGGUCGUUCUUGGUCAAACACAGUCAGUACAACUCGAGUAUCCUCGGCUGUAGCCAACGGGACCAGGAUGGGCACUCGUAAGGGUAGCUAACCCACAAAAUGAUCUACAGGCUUCAGUAGGAUUGCCUGUCUCACGUGCCUUUCCUGAGCCUCUCUCCUUGCUCCCCUCAAUGCUGCUAUGUUCCGAUCUGGCCCUCUGGGCCUUUGUUGUUUGGUUCACGGGUGGAGACAUUAUCCCAAGCUGGAACAAACUCUCUUCUCUAGGAUUUUUGAAAUUGACCUCAAAAGAGUCAGGCCUGAAGCUACACCACAUUGUAAAGUUUUAACCACACACACACACACACACACACACACACACACACAGAAUUCUUGAGUGAAAGUGCACAUGCUCAUGGGUAAACUAGCUGAUGGUAUUUGAACCCCUACUUCCUGUUGUUUCUGAGGACUCUUGCCUUUUACAGGCCUUGGAUUUUUUAUCUAAAACGUGGGUUUUUGGGCUGAGGCCUCGGCUAGAUUGAGUUUGGGUUCUGUCACUUGUAACCACAAGAUUCCUAAGUAAUGGAGACGGGUGAGGAUCUAUUCUGUGGCUUGUGGAAAAUGCCAGGAGAGUGAAGCAGGGAACUGAAUAGCUGCAACUGAAAGGAUACCUGCUAGGAAUGGUCAGCGCACCAGCAUCCAGCGCUCCCCAGGGAAACCUUUUCUCACUCCUUCAGCGAAGGCAUUAGGUGGACAGGCACUAUGUGUUGUAGGAACUCAGACUCCAGGAAAUGCUAGGUUUCUGCACGUCAAAAUGAUAAGCUGUAUUUCCUAUGGUGCCUCUCGCUAGUUUCCUCAGAAAGGGCGACGCAUCAUGAUGUGUGAGGCCCAGCUCUGCCCCUUCCUGGUCAUCUGACCCCUGGGAAGCCACGCCCUCUUCGAGCUUUGGUUUCCUCAUCUGUCCAGCAAACACCUCCCUCACGGGGGCAUUCUGCAACUGAAAUGAGGGGGCACGCAGGACAGCAGCUAGUAGUGUGCCCUCAGUUCUCUAGAAACUCAGCGAAUAUUGAUUUCCUUUCAUCUGUUAUUUCCCUGAUUGAAUGCCAUCAAGGAGCCUGUAUUGACUCUUCUCAAAGAGCCCACGAUGGGGCUGUUUAUCUACAGAGGCAUACUUCCAGAUUCAAUCCACUCAGCCAUUUCCUCUGUUUCCACCAUUUUCCCUGUGCUUCAUCACAAAGAAUUUCUGAUCGUGUGUGCGUUCCUUUUCGACCUGGAAAAAAGCAUGAUGUGGGAGUCAUUUUUAUGUUGCAGUCUUGCCUCUCCUCGCCGGAGUGAUCUUAGAAACAUGACCUUCGUGGUGAGGACGUGGAUUAAAAGCAUGUGUCCUGUAAGGGGAGGGGCGGGGGACAUAGGCAUCCUCUGCUCUGGAGGCUGGGCUCCCUCCUCAAAGCGUCUGCACGAAUGUUUCUCCAUCCCAGAGAUAAAGGCUACAAAAAGAAAAAACAAAAAGCCAUCAGGCAUUUUUGUUUUACCACGUUGCUGUAGUUUGAUAGUAGUUUUAUUACCUCAAUGUGUUGAGAUAGGAGAAUUCCGAGAGGGCUGUGAAACACAUUCUAGAGCUUCAGGGGCGGGAGCACGUUCUGAGCUGGCUGCUUGGUGUGUGUCUCGGGAGAGGGAGAUUCAUGUGCCAGGCUGCAGAGUGUGAUAGAGGCACUUUGCCUCUGACAGUCCCGCUCUCUGAA